CGGAGGGGCCGGGCCGGGCGCGGCGGCGGUGGGAUGAACAGCAUCAAGAGCGUGCCGGCGCGGGUGCUGAACCGCAGGCCGGCGCACAGCCUGGAGGCCGAGCGCGAGCAGUUCGACAAGACCCAGUUAAUCGCAGGUGCCGGCAGACGGAAACUUCCCCGGCUCCUUCCUGCGCUCCCAGGCGUCCGCUGCCCCAGCCUAGGGCCCAUCCCGGGAAGGUGCAGGGUGGAGAUUAAAUAAUGGCUCGCCGGUAUGGGUGUGCACGUGUGUCGGUGUCCAGUUCCCGGAAGGAGGCGUUGUUGUAGGUCUGGUGUUCGGUUCUCCCCACCUUGGUCUUUUUGAGACAAGGUCUCGCUGUGCAUUUUAAGCUGGCCUUGAACUCACUAUGUAGUCCAGGCUGACCUCGGAUAUGCAGCAGUUCUCCUGCCUCAGCCUCCUCUGAGUGCUGGGAUUACAGGGGUGCACCCCGCACUCAGCUUCUGUUCCUUUCUAUUUGAUAAACUCUGAAGUGUUCUUAUGCCUACGAUGGGUGGAGGGGGACAUACUUAUUUACCUAAGGAAGUUAACCACAACUCAAAUGGUUUUUCCUUUUUUUUUUUUUUUUUUGGUACAGGGAUCGGAACUCGGGUCCUUGCACUUGCACAGCAGGUGGCGAAACCACUGAGCUAAAUCCCUGGCCCCAAUGGUUUUUACUUUAGAAAAAAUUUUUACUUUAGAAGUGAGGAAGCCUGUGGCCGGGCAUGGUGGUGCAUGCCUGUGAUCCCAGCACUCAGGAGGCUGAGGGAUGAGGAUUGCCACUGAGACAAGACCACCCUGGGCUACAUAGUGAGUUCGAGGCCAGCCUAAACUACAUAUCGAGACCCUGUCUCAAAAAACCAAAAAAAAAAAAAAAAAAAAAAAAAAAAAGGAAGCCUAUCUGAAGCAGGUGAGUGACAUUUGCAUUUGUGGGUUCCCUGAGCAAGUUCCUUCUCUCCUGUCCCAGUGGAGAUAAGUUGCUUUCAAAACAAGUCAGCAUGCACAUGCACUCUGUCGCAGCUUCCUUCUGAAAUAAAGAGAAAACACCAGGACCUCUAACCUUUGUGCUUCUGAUUGGCAGUGAAAGUGAAAAUAGAACCUCGGGAUGUAAGGUUCAGUGGAGGGCCGAAGCCAGCCUGGCUGUAGAUGGUUACUGUAUCCGUCUGAUCGCUGUCAUCGUCCUCAUCUGGUCUAGCCCGGAGAGCCUGUCAUUUAAAAAAAGCCUAGCAUUUAAUUUAAAGUCAUUAAUACAUAAUUAAUUGCACCAGGAACUUGCAGAACACAGGGAGAAGCACUUAUAAUUGGCAGAGAGAACCUGGGUGUUGUCAGGAACUUUGUUUAUUCGCCAAUUUUGGAUUUGAAAGUCUGAGUUCAUUGAUUUUGCUCUGAAAUGAUGAUGAUGAUAAGGGCGACCUUCUGAAUGUCAGAAAAAUGUCUGACCUGGGACCAGGCGUUUUGGCAGUGGUUUUGUUUUCCUUUGUCUUUUUUUUUUUGGUACCGGGGGUCAAACUCAGGACCUUGUGCUUGCAAGACAGGCGGCAACACCACUCAGCUAAAUCCCCAGCCCUUUGCGGUGGUUUGGUUUUGAUCAGCGGGUCUCCCGUGGGGCUGGAAGGUCAACGCCAGCCUUGUAUGAGGAGAGUCCCACUGGGACUCGCCCACCUGAAACUCUUGUUUGGUACCGGUGGAGCUUGGGUCCAGCGUCUGGAUUUGUCUUUGCUGUGACUUCUUGAGGGAUGUAAGAAUGAGGUUUCCUAAGUGGUUAAAUAUAUAAUUAGAUUGUUCCCAGAAAUAUCUCUUGAGCGUAAGCUGCCAGCCGGGCCCCAUGGUGGAAGGGGCCUGGAGAGUCCGGGCUCCUGCUUCUGUGUCUCCUUUGGGACGGAAAAUAGCACAUCACCCCGAGACGAGGCGAGGCGAGGCGAGGUGAGGCGAGGCGAGGCGAGCUUCC
ensembl:lncRNA